UCCUGUGUGGCUCAGUUGGUAGAGCAUGGUGUUUGCAACGCCAGGAUUGUGGAUUCGAUUCUCACGGGGG
rfam:Salmo salar isolate Sally breed double haploid chromosome ssa07, whole genome shotgun sequence.